UACGUAGGCAGCAAGCGUUGUUCGGAAUUACUGGGCGUAAAGAGUGCGUAGGUGGUGCUCUAAGUUUGGUGUGAAAUCUCCCGGCUUAACCGGGAGGGUGCGCCGAAAACUGGAGUGCUUGAGGGUGGGAGAGGUAAGCGGAAUUCCUGGUGUAGCGGUGAAAUGCGUAGAUAUCAGGAGGAACACCUGUGGUGUAGACAGCUUACUGGACCACUUCUGACACUGAGGCACGAAAGCGUGGGUAGCAAACAGG
rnacentral:rRNA from 1 species